rnacentral:rRNA from 1 species
AGAGUUUGAUCAUGGCUCAGAUUGAACGCUGGCGGCAUGCCUUACACAUGCAAGUCGAACGGUAACAGGUCUUCGGAUGCUGACGAGUGGCGAACGGGUGAGUAAUACAUCGGAACGUGCCCGAUCGUGGGGGAUAACGAGGCGAAAGCUUUGCUAAUACCGCAUACGAUCUACGGAUGAAAGCGGGGGAUCCUCGGACCUCGCGCGGACGGAGCGGCCGAUGGCAGAUUAGGUAGUUGGUGGGAUAAAAGCUUACCAAGCCGACGAUCUGUAGCUGGUCUGAGAGGAUGAUCAGCCACACUGGGACUGAGACACGGCCCAGACUCCUACGGGAGGCAGCAGUGGGGAAUUUUGGACAAUGGGCGAAAGCCUGAUCCAGCCAUGCCGCGUGCAGGAUGAAGGCCUUCGGGUUGUAAACUGCUUUUGUACGGAACGAAAAGCCUCUUUCUAAUAAAGAGGGGUCAUGACGGUACCGUAAGAAUAAGCACCGGCUAACUACGUGCCAGCAGCCGCGGUAAUACGUAGGGUGCAAGCGUUAAUCGGAAUUACUGGGCGUAAAGCGUGCGCAGGCGGUUUUGUAAGACAGAGGUGAAAUCCCCGGGCUCAACCUGGGAACUGCCUUUGUGACUGCAAGGCUGGAGUGCGGCAGAGGGGGAUGGAAUUCCGCGUGUAGCAGUGAAAUGCGUAGAUAUGCGGAGGAACACCGAUGGCGAAGGCAAUCCCCUGGGCCUGCACUGACGCUCAUGCACGAAAGCGUGGGGAGCAAACAGGAUUAGAUACCCCGGUAGUCCAA